rnacentral:rRNA from 1 species
AGUGCCAGCGAUUCGGUCGGGAACUCUAGGAGACUGCCGGUGAUAAACCGGAGGAAGGUGGGACGAUGUCAAGUCAUCAUGGCCCUUACGAGUAGGGCUACACACGUGCUACAAUGGUAUGUACAGAGGGAGGCAAGCUGGCGACAGUGAGCGGAUCUCUUAAAGCAUAUCGUAGUCCGGAUUGGAGUCUGCAACUCGACUCCAUGAAGUCGGAAUCGCUAGUAAUCGCAAAUCAGAAUGUUGCGGUGAAUACGUUCCCGGGCCUU